UACGUAGGGCGCAAGCGUUUGUCCGGAAUUAUUGGGCGUAAAGAGCUCGUAGGCGGCUUGUCACGUCGGAUGUGAAAGCCCGGGGCUUAACCCCGGGUCUGCAUUCGAUACGGGCUAGCUAGAGUGUGGUAGGGGAGAUCGGAAUUCCUGGUGUAGCGGUGAAAUGCGCAGAUAUCAGGAAGAACACCCGUGGCUAAGGCGGCUCUCUAGUACGGUACUGACGCUGAGACGCGAAAGCGUGGGGAGCGAACAGG
rnacentral:rRNA from 1 species